rnacentral:tRNA from 1 species
GAGGGUGUAGCUCAGUGGUAGAGUGUGUACUUAGCAAGCACAGGGGCCUGGGUUCAGUCUCUAGUACCUGCA